UGCCAGCCGCCGCGGUAAUACGGAGGAUGCAAGCGUUAUCCGGAAUUAUUGGGUUUAAAGGGUGCGUAGGCGGGAAAUUAAGUCAGUGGUGAAAGCCCACAGCUCAACUGUGGAACUGCCAUUGAUACUGAUUUUCUUGAAUAUAUGUGAAGUAGAUAGAAUGUGUCAUGUAGCGGUGAAAUGCUUAGAUAUGACGCAGAAUACCAAUUGCGAAGGCAGUCUACUAACAUACUAUUGACGCUGAGGCACGAAAGCGUGGGGAGCGAACAGGAUUAGAUA
rnacentral:rRNA from 1 species